rnacentral:lncRNA from 1 species
AGGUAUGUACAGGACCGGCCUUCCCAUUACCCCAUCAUAUACAGUGUAUCACACUACAUACAACCAACAGGUAUGUACAGGACCGGCCUUCCCAUUACCCCGUCAUAUACAGUGUAUGGUGCUGAAUCCUACUGUACUAGAAUGCCCACUCACAGGCAGUACAUCACACUACAGAACACAUAUAAAAUGGAGCCCAUCUGCAGGUGUAGUGUUGGCCUCCUGUGAAGCCACACUCUCCAUGUGGGUUGGCAAUUACACUCAGAUGUCAGCAUCUAAAACCACUCCUCUGCUUUCUGUCCUCCCCCGCUGUCUCUCUCCCCCUCUCCCUCUCUCAGCCUCUCUCUCUCCCCCUCUCCCUCUCUCAGCC